AGAGAAUAGAUACCCAGGUAGUCCCAGCUGUAAACGAUGCGGACUCGGUGAUGAGUUGGCUACAUGCCAUCUCAGUGCCGCAGGGAAGCCGUUAAGUUUGCCGCCUGGGGGAGUACGGUCGCAAGACUGAAACUUAAAGGAAUUGGCGGGGAGCACCACAAGGGUGGAAGCCUGCGGUUCAAUUGGUAGUCAACGCCGGGAAACUCUUACCGGGGGUCGGACAGCAGUAUGAAGGUCAAGCUGAAGACUUUACCUAGACAAGCUGAGAGGAGGUGCAUGGCCGUCGCCAGCUCGUGCCGUGAGGUGUCCUGUUAAGUCAGGUUAACGAGCGAGACCCCGUCGCUCUAGUUGCUACCUUUACUCUCAGGAGUAGUGGAGCUAAUUAGAGGGACUGCCGUCGCUGAGACGGAGGAAGGAGGGGGUCUACGGCAGGUCAGUAUGCCCCGGAAACCCUUCGGGCCGACACGCGGGGUCUGCAACUGGUAAGGGACCAAUGAGUUUCAAUUCCGUAAAGGAGGAGGCAAUCUCUAAACCGUUACCACAGUUAUGAUUGA
rnacentral:rRNA from 1 species